rnacentral:rRNA from 1 species
GAUGAACGCUGGCGGCGUGCCUAAUACAUGCAAGUCGAACGCAUUGAGAGAAGUGCUUGCACUUUUCAAUUUGAGUGGCGAACGGGUGAGUAACACGUGGGCAACCUACCUGAUAGCGGGGGAUAACGAGUGGAAACAUUCGCUAAUACCGCAUAACAAUAGAGAAGGCAUCUUCUUUAUUUAAAAGACGCUUUCAAGCGUCACUAUAAGUUGGGGCCGCGGUGGACUAGUUAGUUGGUGGGGUGAAGGCCUACCAAGACGAUGAUGCAUAGCCGAGUUGAGAGACUGAUCGGCCACAUUGGGACGAAGACACGGCCCCAACUCCUACGUGAGUCUGCAGUAGGGAAUCUUCCACAGUGUACGAAAGUCUGAUGGAGCAACGCCGCGUGUGUGAUGAAGGCUUUCGGGUCGUAAAGCACUGUUGUAUGGGAAGAAAUGCUGGGCUAGGAAAUGAGCUUAGUUUGACGGUACCAUACCAGAAAGGGACGGCUAAAUACGUGCCAGCCGCCGCGGUAA